CGUAGAUCUGCCAUACAGUACAGAACCUGAAACUGAGCAUCUCAAUUAAGCGGAGGAAAAAAGAACCUAACUAGGAUUCCUUAGUAAAAGGCGAUCGAAAAGGAACAGCCCACGUCUUAAUCCCGCAGGAGAAAUGGUGUGGUCACCUAUUGCACUGUCAAGUCAGAUGGAAUGCUGACGCGAUUCAGAGUAAAAGCCUCGUCAUGACCAAACCGCAAGCUUACGAUGACCGGGGAGUCGGAUACUUUUGAGAGUAUGUCUUAAGGGGGUGGUAUGUCCCAUCCAAGGCUAAAUAACUGAGUAGAGAAGAUAGAUUACAAUAGUGUGGAAGCGAAAAGAUGAAAAAAGAAUCUUAAAACAGAGGUGUGAAAAAGUUCCUGAACUGCUUAGGGUUAAGGCUAUUUAAUGUACCACGUCUUGAAAACGAUUAGGAGUUUAUCUGUAGUGCGAGUCUUGCACGUUAACUGUAAGAGGCGUAGAAAAGCAACUGGCGUUGCAUGGCUACUCGAGCAUUACUGAUAGGAACCGAAAGGUGUGAACUUUGCCUCACAGGUUGAAGUCAGGGGACUCUGAUGGAGGACCGUACGGGUUAUUGAUGUGCAAAUCAUUUUUCUGAUGUAGGUAAAAGGUGCAGAAAGACUCAUCAAACCCACCUAUGCUGUUUCCUCGAAGUUCUCCAUCAGGAUAGUGUUCAUUUAGUUUAAGGGGAGAUAGAGAUUAUGGGUAGAGGUGCAGGAGCCUUCGGUUUCAACUUAUUCCAAACUUCGAACUCCUUUUAGCAUUACCUCACUGAAAUGCGUUAAAUGAAUCGGCGUUCUUAACAAGUGCUCUGACCGGUAAGCGUCAUGUCGAAACUGGAUUUGAACCAUACGUGAAUAGGUGCCGAAAUGACUAUCCACUGAAUACCAUAAGAGAGUCCAUGUAUUUAGACAGAUGGUCGUCCCUAAACACAUUAAUCGCUAAAGAGUGUGUUAAAACUCACUCGCAAUACUAGGGCCCCCGAAAAUGAAUGGCCGCAUAUAGUACUCCGAUCUCAGACAUCAAGUUCUAAUUGAAACUGAGAGGUAGGGGAUGUGGAACAUUUUUGUGAGGUGCAAUGUGAGUUUGGACUGGAGAUGUCUAAUUACAGGAUCCUAAUUGGGAAGUAGGAUUAUCCAGGCCCUUGUAUCCUGGGGGCUGAAUGAGGAGUAGGGUUUCAUGGACAACUUAAACAGUCCAGAGUUAGUCGAUCCUAAUCUCAUAAUGGGAGAAGGGAGUCCAGUUGAUAUUCUGUAAUGACAACAGUUUCGCGGCAACGCAUACUAUUUUUCUCCGCCAAUCUUAAUACCGUUGGUAGGGGUUUUUCCUACAUGACAGUAUAAUACCCAGGGAAAACUGGUCAUCCGGCGAAACCUGCGGCGUUCUGCUGGCAAAACAUAGCUUCGGUUAUGUUGACUCAUCGGCUAUUGGAUUGGUCAUGAAGCGAAAAUAGUUUACUGUGUCACUCCCGUACCGGAUAACCGCAUCAGGUUUCUAGGUAGUAGCCUCAAUGCCAUUGAGGCAAUGAUAGUUCAGGGAAUUCGGCAAUUAGAAGGAUGUAACUUUCAGGGAUAAAAGCUUGGCUUGAUGAAAAUCAGAACCGAUUGUUACGCGGAGAGCCCACUGGUUUAAUAAAAACGUAGUGUUCGCGGCUGUGGUAGUAUAGCCAGUGAACGCGACAGAUGAAUCCUGCUCAGUGCUGUGUCUGUUAAUAUGGUUCAAGCCACGAAGCAACCGGUAAAAUAGCUGGGGUACUAUGAUCUUAUCAAAGUAGCGAAAUACCUCGUCACUUAAUUAGUGACCUGCAAUGAAGGAGCUAUGAGGUUUCUCACUGUCCCAAACUGUCCUCUCAGCGAAACAACUGUAGGUGGGAACGGUCCUAGAUAUCCAGCGGGGAAGAAGACCCUGUAGAGCUUCACUUGGUCUAGUCUUGUAUAGUUUCCUGCGGGGGUGUAGACUACGGUGGGAGGAGCAUCGAUUCUGAAAAACCAAUACCCUGUUUGAAUUAAUGCUUUACCUAUCACAGGAAUAGGAUAGAAAUUAGAAAAGUUUGGCUGGGGCGGCACACUUCAAGAGAGCGAAGGGUUGUCCUAAGUUGAGCUCAAGUGAGACCAAAUUCUCACGUUGAGGAUAGGCCAAAAGCUCAAUUUACUGUGCUNNNNNNNNNNNNNNNNNNNNNNNNNUUACUGUGCCUUUUGUACUAGGAUCAGUUACGAAAGUAAGGCCUAACGAUCCCUAAAUAGCCUCAGGUGCGUGAGGAUUGGGUGACAGACAAGUUACCUCCGGACAACUGCUUGUGGCUGCUAAAGAUCAAAUCAACGCAGCUUUUUGAUUCUUCGAUGUCGCUCUUCCUAUCCUAGUGAUGUACAAGUUGCUAAGGUCGGAUGUUCACCCGUAUUAGGGAUCGUGAGCUGGGUUUAGACCGUCGUGAGCCAGGUUGUUUUAUCCUACUGGAUAUAGCAUCAUGAUAGUAAUUGAUUUAGUACGAGAGGAACUGUUGAUUAUGGCCUCUGGUUAGCGAUUAUCGAAACGUAUGUCGCGCAGCUACGCCGUCUGGAUAAUGGCUGAAAGCCUCUAAGCCAGAAGCCAUCUAGAAAGUGAUGCACGUGAUGUUGGACCGAUACGAAUAAUCAUACUCAAAAGUCCGCUUCAUAGUAACCCAAUGUAGAAGACAUUGUUGAACGAAGUACUGUAAGCAGUGGAGUGGCAUUACGUCCACGACCUGUUGAGGUUCAGCUUCGCUUCUAGGUUUCCAAAAUAUUU
rnacentral:rRNA from 1 species